rnacentral:rRNA from 1 species
CCUACGGGUGGCAGCAGUGGGGAAUAUUGCACAAUGGGGGAAACCCUGAUGCCGCAACGCCGCGUGAGCGAUGAAGGCCUUCGGGUCGUAAAGCCCUGUCCUACGGGAAGAAUACUGACGGUACCUCAGGAGGAAGCCCCGGCGAACUACCUGCCAGCAGCCGCGGUAAUACGUAGGGGGCUAGCGUUAUCCGGAAUUACUGGGCGUAACUGGUGCGUCGGCGGACCUUCAAGUCAGACGUGAGAGGCUACGGCUCAACCGUAGUAAGGCUUGUAACCUUGAGUGCUUGAGUGCAGGACAGGGGAGUAGAAUUCCCAGUGAUGCGGUGAACGGCCUAGUGAGUGGGAGGAAGACCAGUUGCGAAGACGGCUCUCUGGACUGUAACUGGCGUUGAGGCACGAUAGCGUGCGGAGAGAACAGGAUUGGCUACCAGAGUAGUC